GCAUCGAUAGUUCAGUGGCAGAGCGGUGGAGCGUUUACCCAUGCGGCCCGGGUUCGAUUCCCGGUCGAUGUA